UGGAAGGACAGAGCACACAGCUUGAUACACAAAACAGGUCUUACAAAUGUUAGUUCAGGUGUAAAAUAUUCUAUUCUUUAGCAUGUAAAUGGACAAAGAUUCUGUCACUAAUCAGAGGUUGUUUUAUUUAUAAAUCAAUCAAUCACAGGCCCAGUGGAGAUAUAAAACUGAGGUCACUGGAUCUCAGAGGACCUAGAAUCAAUGUGUUCCUCAGAGUGAAGGGGAAAACUGAGUUGCUUAUUUUUCCAAAUCUUCCUGACUGAGAUUCUGGUGUGGGGACACUGAAAAAUUAAUGGACCUCCAAAUUCUAUAGAAAUGGCACAGGAGGCCUAUCUGGAUGCCCACGCACUCACUGCAGAAAGGAACCCUGCUUGGAGAAUUUAUCACUUUCAGAGUGAAUGGUAACAAGCUUGUUCUUUGUCUAAGGGAAGACAUUACCUCAUCCUUCCAAGGUUGACUGGUACAAACAUAAGCCUGAAAAACGGCCCAGAGAAGGUGUAAGACCGGGGGCCUUACCAAACGCUCCGAGGAGCUGACUAGUGAAGCACACCCAGGAAUCCCAGCGGUGCC